GAUGAACGCUAGCUACAGGCUUAACACAUGCAAGUCGCGGGGCAUCAUGGAGGUUGCUUGCAAUUUCUGAUGGCGACCGGCGCACGGGUGAGUAACGCGUAUCCAACCUUCCCAUUACUACGGCAUACCCCGUUGAGAGGCGGCCUAAUUCCGUAUGCAGUCCGAAGCAGUCAUCUAAUUUGGACGAAAGGUAUAUUCUAUCGGUAAUGGAUGGGGAUGCGUCCGAUUAGCCAGCCGGCGGGGUAACGGCCCACCGGGGCAUUGAUCGGUAGGGGUUCUGAGAGGAAGGUCCCCCACACUGGAACUGAGACACGGUCCAGACUCCUACGGGAGGCAGCAGUGAGGAAUAUUGGUCAAUGGGCGUAAGCCUGAACCAGCCAAGUAGCGUGCAGGAUGACGGCCCUAUGGGUUGUAAACUGCUUUUAUGCGGGGAUAAAAGUUGGGGACGUGUC
rnacentral:rRNA from 1 species